rnacentral:lncRNA from 1 species
GGAAUUGGGAAGGUCUGGGCACUGAUAACACAACAUCAUCCCCGUGUGAUCCCUGCUUGCAGCCAGGAAACCACUUCCUCUGUUUGUAUGGGCUGGAAGGGGAUGGGACUGCACGGGGGCUCUCGCUCUCAGCUCAUUGAGCCAAGCCAGAAAAGCCAUGGCACCCAACUAAAAUCAAAGGAGCUUCUGCAGUAAAGCUGAGCGCAAAACUCCUGCCACAAAACUCCUGAUACAAAACUCUCCUUAACAAACACAAACCACC